rnacentral:rRNA from 1 species
UCGCCUCUUGCUCAAAUAUAAGAGGUCCAGCCUGCCCUGUGAUAAUAUUUUAACGGCCGCGGUAUCUUGACCGUGCGAAGGUAGCGUAAUCACUUGUCUUUUAAAUAAAGACCCGUAUGAAAGGCAUCACGAGAGUUUAACUGUCUCUACUUUCCAAUCAAUGAAAUUGAUCUACCCGUGCAGAAGCGGGUAUAAAAACAUUAGACGAGAAGACCCUAUGGAGCUUCAAACACUUAAAUUAAUUACAUUAACACAAAUAUUCUAAGGACAUAAACAUAAAUAUAGUUCUCCUAAUUUAACAUGUUUUUGGUUGGGGUGACCAAGGGGAAAAAUAAAUCCCCCUGAUCGAUUGAGUAUUCACAUACUUAAAAAUUAGAAUGACAAUUCUAAACAAUAAAAUAUUUAUCGAAAAAUGACCCAGGAUUUACCUGAGCAAUGAACCAAGUUACCCUAGGGAUAACAGCGCAAUCCUUUCUCAGAGUUCUUAUCGACGAAAGGGUUUACGACCUCGAUGUUGGAUCAGGACAUCCUAAUGGUGCAACCGCUAU